rnacentral:piRNA from 1 species
GCCCCACCUACUCGAUUUUUGUCUUCAGC